rnacentral:rRNA from 1 species
UACGUAGGGUGCGAGCGUUAAUCGGAAUUACUGGGCGUAAAGCGUGCGUAGACGGUUAUUUAAGUCGGAUGUGAAAGCCCCCGGCUCAACUGGGGAGGGUCACGCGAUACUGAUCGACUCGAAGGCAGGAGAGGGAAGUGGAAUUCCCGGUGUAGUGGUGAAAUGCGUAGAUAUCGGGAGGAACACCGGUGGCGAAGGCGGCCUUCUGGACAGCAACUGACGCUGAGACGCGAAAGCGUGGGGAGCAAACAGG